UAAAAUUCAUGGUCUAAAACAGCAAUUACUUUGCACCAACCUAAUAUAACAUCAAUCAAAACUGGAGGAAAAAUUACAAAUAUUGAAUCCUAUUGUACACCUGCAACUAAUUGAUGCUAUAUACAUCAAUUAUACCUAAAAAAAAGUUUUGUUUUGUUUGAGCCAUUAAAAAAAGAGGAAAAAAGUGAAUACAAAGAAAAAAAAAGUUAGAAUUGGAAAAGUUCACAGUAUUUUCUCUUUGGCUAAUCAUAGAUAAUACUGGAAAGUUCUUAGAAACGUACUUGUAACAUUCAACCAUAAUUUUAAUAACACUCAACCAAGACUUUUGUAACAUACAGCCAUGAUUUCUUCAGAGCCAGCUAAAAGGAAAGGCUGAGGUAACAUAUAGAAUUUUGACAGAGGGAAAAAAAAAAAAAAAAAAAAAUCACACAAUGACUCUUUUACUGUCUCUAGAGCAAGCGAGCAAUGCACCUGAACUUAAAAAUACCAUCUAAAAUAUUAUAUCCAUUCCCCUACUCUCUUUCUCCAUUCUCCCCCUCCAAAAGAAAGAAAAGCACCUGCAGGUGUCAAAUCUGAAAGUGACAGGUGCAAACAUUACAGCUGAGGAAGUCAUGUGUCCCCUCAGAGACUGUUACGAAGACAAAAAACAAUAGGUCAUUGGUCGGUACAUUUUGCUAGGCUUCACGAUUCAUGCCAAUUAAGGACACUGUGUGGACAACACAGCCUGAUUUGCAAAAGCAAGAAAGAAAACUUACAAUCUGUAUAUUUUCCCCCCAAAAGUCACAGCCAGCAUUUUUAAAAUACAGCAAAGAAAAAGAAGGGCAAUGUGUCGAAGGAGGUUUGUUACUUAAGCAAAACCACAAAUGAACUCAAACUCUUCUCUCAAGUGAUGGCUAAGGGUGAUUUAAACACAAAAGGUGACAUGUGAAAAAGCAUUGGCAUGCUAUAGAAUUCCACUUCCUAAACUUAAACUUUAAAAAAAAUUUUUUUAAAGAAGAGCACUGUUUUUUUAUUUUCCUCCAAGCACCAUAUCAAGGUUGCAAAGGUCUUCAAAUUCACAAAGGCACUGCUAGUAAGUUAACGGUGUUCAUUGCUCAUGCACACAUACACACCUGGCCUGAAGAGGGAGAUGAUAGGUUAUUUUUGUUUCCAUUUAAAAAUAUAUACAUUUGAUUAAAUUCACCCUGUGUGAUAGUGGAACCUGAAAACAGGGAAUCAAUUAUGAGUUGUCCAACUUUGUUUGAGUGAUUAAAAAAGUAAUCUAGCAAAUUUCUGCAAAGUCAGACCAUAAUCAUUGCCCUAUAUUCUGGACAACAGAAUAUCCUUGCUACCAUUCCCGCACUUUCCCCACCAAGCCCACAGCAAGCAGUCACUCUCUGCUGAUCCUAGCCUCAAAUUCAGAAUCCCUAGAAGCCGCAACUGACUGGAACAGAAUUGGCACAGAAAGAAAAAAACAAAAAGACAGUAUGCCAAUGUCAGGUACAUUAAAUCACAGGUGUUUACUGCCACUCACUUCUCUCUGGUCAACAACCACAAAACAAGAAAAACAAAAUAAUAAAGCCAAAUUACACUUGUACAUAUGACUUACAUUCCAAGGCAUCAUCCGAAAUGGGAUGUCACAACAAGAGGCUCUAAACAUUGGCUGGGUAUGCCAGUUCUGAAGGCAUGGAAAUACUUGUGUAAUGUAGUAUCCACAGACACCAGGGGAAAGGUCAAGUAUAGAAAUGUCCUAUUUAAUUCAAGUAUUGAGUCUGAUUCUCAGGUAAGACUUAAAAUGUAUCUGUUGUAUGCUCAUUUACCAUAUAAAUUUGUCAAAUGAAGAUCUUAAAUCACAUACACAUCCCAAGACAGAAAUCUGGGUGUUAACUCUUACCGUCUCUAGGUCACACUUUUGACUGCUGCCAAACAAAGAACACAAGCUUUUGACUGAGUCAUGGUAGCUUCCAGUGCAAACUUACUAUAUUCUUUGUAACUCAACUUAUAAAAUCAAUUGUAAAACUAAACAUAAAUGACUAAAUGUAUCUCAAAACAAAAUGGUUCCAAGUUGCACUGUCCACAGCAAAAAACCAUGCAUAUAGAGCUGUCUACACACACACAAACACACACACAGGAUUAAAGAAAAGCAUUAGAAACCCCUGGAUGGUCUUUCAAAAGGAAAUGGCCUCAUUCUAGCUACAUAGAAAAAGCGGUUCUUUGCACAGAAUUAUUAAAAAGAAAAUAAAGGAAUUAGAAUGUCAGGUCAAAAAGGGCAGAGGUCAGAAUUAUUCUGUCAUAAAGAAGAAAUACUUAACAAGAUAAGUAGAGUCACCUCCUCCUCUAUUGCCAGCUGCACCACAUACAUGUGCCACCAUUUACUUACCCGCCUUGCUUUCAAUGAGCUGAUCUGAAUGACUGCAUAAAAGUCACUUACACUUACAUAAAAGUCCAUGUACAGAGGAAAGCUCUGGAGGACACACACCAGAAGAGUGGUUAUCGCCGGGACAGUAGGGGGUGUCAAGGUGAAGAAACCAAGUUCUGAAAAGACCACAGGCCUAACUCAAGAUCACACAGUUGGUAACAACAGAACAAGGACUAACUCAGUUUCAGGUAUUCAGCAAAGCAUCACAAGACUUUCUGAGCAAGGCUGACUAGGUACCUCACACUGAGUUCUCACAGCUCCAUUUGGGAUGCAGCUCACAACACUGGUACUGCAGCUGCAAGCGAGCACAGGAAACACACUGGCAUGGCCUGUGCAUCUUCACAUGAACAUAUUUUUAAUUUAACAUAAAAUUUAUAAAUUUUUAAAAAUCUCGU